UACGUAGGGGGCAAGCGUUGUCCGGAUUUAUUGGGCGUAAAGAGCGUGUAGGCGGCCUGAAAGGUCAGCUGUGAAAACUCGAGGCUCAACCUCGAGACGUCGGUUGAAACCAUCUGGCUAGAGUCCGGAAGAGGAGAGUGGAAUUCCCCGGUGUAGCGGUGAAAUGCGCAGAUAUCGGGAAGAACACCCGUGGCGAAGGCGGCUCUCUGGGACGGUACUGACGCUCAUGCACGAAAGCGUGGGGAGCGAAACAGG
rnacentral:rRNA from 1 species